UUACCAAUCUAAAGAACACUUUAGGUGAUUUAACAUUGAAUGUUGCCAUACUCAUUGUUGGCAGCUGAUUGGAUAUUGAGGUGAUCAACUAAGGGAGGAUUGAUGCCAACCAGCCAGCUGUAGAAAUGGUUGAUAAAAAGAAAAGGAUGAAGAAAACCAGUUCUGACAGGUUUUGGCUGGUGCAGAGUGGUUUUGCAAGCUUCAGGACUGGCUACUCUGUGUAGCACUCUUUUUAUUUUUAUAUCCAGUUGUUGAAUUGUUGUAACAAAAAGAAUCCCAAUCUCUAAUUCCUCCUCCUCCACUUCUGCAUAGCAGAAGAUUUUUUAAAAUCGCUUACGCGGACUGCUGAGGAUGUUCUCCCACAAUCGCCUGCCACAACUUUUGUCAAAAUAAAUGAGAAGAGAAUGAAACUUCCAGUUGAUUGCUGAGAGAAUGACACAACAAUUCAUGUUUUAAGACUCUUGCUGUAACAAACGGGUCAAAAGCACUGUUCACAAAACAAAUUUGUUGUAGGUAACCUAUAUUUUAAACUGCGGAACUGAGCUUUUCCUUUUAUUUUUAACUCAUCUGUGAAAUGGAUUUAUCAGUUAUACUUCAUACUGGCCUUUAACUAGUUUGUAACUUUUCCAUGUAUCCAGUUUAAAGUGAUUCUUAGCUCCUUAGAGAGUACUUCCAUUGUUUUGCAUUUCCACCCUUAUUGCUUUUAACCUUAAAACUGUCUUUCAAGAUGAGGGCUGCCAUUGUCUGUAAAUGUAAAUAAUCAACAUCGUCUUUCCAACAUAUAUUCUUACCUCCUUUUAACCUUUUUAACAGUUACAAUACCUACUUCAUUAGUUAGAUAAAUGCCUCAUAUAAUCUUUAAAAUUUUUGUCUUAAACUGUAAGCACAGCCAUCUUGUAAUCCUCGUAUUUGUAACAUAAUAUUAUGCAGAUCGUCCUGUCAACAAUAGAAGGGGAAGCAACCAUGGUUAUAAAUAUCCAUUCAUCCUUUGAGUUUCUUGAACUGUAACUUCUCUCCUUGGCUGUAAUAUGGCUUCAAUUGGUCUCAGAUGUUUUUAUUUAAAGCUUAACAGUGAUUACAAAUACUUGUGAACACUUAAGAGCUUUGCAAUGCUUUCUGGGACUUUGUGGUGCAGUGGUAGUAUCCCUACCUCUGAUUAAGAAGUCUAGGUUCAAGUCUCACCUGGUCCAGAGGUGUGCAGUAAAACAGGCAUAACAGUGAGUGAGGAAUGUGUGACGGAGGGAGUGUGACAGCGAGGGAGUGAACAGAUUGAUUAGUUUUAUUAAUUAAUCUAUAUUUCUAAACUGCAGUGCUUUCUUUGUGAGGACUUUUAUGGUGCCAUGGCAAUAUCCUUACCUCUGAGCGAGGAGACCUGAGUUCAAGUCCCAUCUGCUCCAGAAAUGAGUUAUAUGUCUGAGCAGUUUGAUUAAAAAUAUCUUGAAGUGCUCUCAAAGCUGCCUUUCUAACCACCGCUCUGUACCUCCCACUGCUGAACAUUCAUUGUUAUUCACCAUCCUCCUUG